rnacentral:siRNA from 1 species
GGGUUUUAUGUUCCGGCCGGCCU